UCCUGCUUGCCUAGCAUAAACUUAAAGGGCUUGUUUCUGUCCCGGGAGGAAUCAAAUUUCUUUCCAUCUUCAAGCAUCCCUGUGUAGUUCACCACACUGGUCUC